UCUAUCACGAGGUGGAAUCUGAAGGAAGCCGGAGGCAAACUUCUGGCCUGACGAACAGGAAUCACAUAAGGCAUGCAUAGGCUGGGUAAAGCUGCCUAACAAGCCA
rfam:Desulfotomaculum sp. 46_80 MPI_scaffold_592, whole genome shotgun sequence.